UUAAGGGGAGGGGGUAAGGGUUAUAUACAUUGUUUUUUCAUACUUUGUAACCAUUUAAAAAUGCAAUAAAAAAAGUUUAAAAAAAAAAGAAGUGGAGAGAGUGAGCAGCUUCAAGUUCCUGUGUGUCAAGAUCUCUGAAGAUCUAACCUGGUCCCAACAUAUUGAUGCAGCUAUAAAGAAGGCAAGACAGCAACUGUACUUCAUUAGGAGUUUGAAGAGAUUUGGUAUGUCAACAAAAACACUCAAUAUCUUUUAUAGAUGUACUAUAGAGAGCAUUGUGUCAGGCUGCAACACUGUCUGGUAUGGGAGAGGGGGCUACUGCACAGGACUGAAAGUAGUUGCAGAGGGUCAUGAAUCUAGUCAGCUCCAUCUUGGGUACUAGACUAUAAAGUACCCAGGACAUCUUCAAGGAGCGGUGUCUCCGAAAGGCAACAUCCAUUAUUAAGGACCCCCAGCACCCAGGGCAUGCCCUUUUCUCACUGUUACCAACAGGUAGGAGGUACAGAAGUCUAAAGCCACAUACUCAGCAAUUCAGGAACAGCUUCUUCACCUCUGCCAUCUGAUUCCUAAAUGGACAUUGAACCUAUUAACACUACCUCACUUUAUUAAUAUAUAUUAUUUCUGUUUUUGCACAAUUUUUUAUCUAUCAAAUAUACAUAUACUGUAAUUUAUUUAUUUAUUCUGCUAGAUUAUGUAUUGCAUUGACCUGCUGCUGCUAAGUUAACAAGUUUCACGUCGGUGAUGAUAAAGCUGAUUCUGAAUAUACAUGCACUAUGCUCACAGCCACUGCUUCGGAUGUGGUGACCAUUACUGAGGAAUUUAGAAGACUGUGGGGAACCUCAUUGAAACCUACCGAAUGUUGAAAGGACUAGAUAAGGUUGGAGUCUACCUAAACGGAAUCCAAGGCGUUGUUUUGACAACCUGAGACUGACCUCAUCAUGAUACUGCAAGUAACAGACCCUUCUAGCCCCAUGAGCUGGACCACCCAGCAAUCUACCUAUUUAACACCAGCAGGACCACAGGACAGUCUACAAUGACCAAUUAACCUGCUAGCCAAUAUGUUUUUGGUCUAUUGGAGGAAACUGGAGCAUCCGGAACAAACUCGAGCAGUCUACAGGGAGAAUGUACCAACUCCUUACAUACAGUACCGUAAUUGAUCACCAAACUCUGGAGUGCCCCAAGCAGUCGGACAAUCAGAUGCGAGGAGCAUAGCAAAGCAGAUUGUGAGAUAAAGAGUCCACCUUAAUGUAUAAGAGGUCCAUUCAAUAGUGCAUAGCAACAGGAGAGGAACUGUCUUUGAACCUGAUGGUAUGUUGUGGUGAACUAAAGAUACCUGUCUGGACAUGCCCCUCUGCUGACUGCUCCUGUGGCUCCUCCCACAGACCCCGGUAUAAAGGCGAUUGGAGACACUGUCCCUCAGUCUCCAGGAUGUUGUGUGAUGGUCUCUUGCUGCUGACAGUGCUUUCUUCCAGCUAAUAAAAGCCUAUCUCUCGCCUCACGUCUCCAAGAGUUAUUGAUGGUGCAUCAUAUGUGCUUUCAAGUUAUUGUGUCUUCUUCUUGAUGUGAGAAGGGAGAAGAGAAAAUGUCCAGGCUGGGCAAGUUCUUUAGUUAUAUUGGCUACUGUACUGAGGUAGCAAGAAAUGGAGACAGGGCAAUUGGUUUUCGUGAUGCGCUGAUCUUUGCUCACAUCUAUCAGAAUUAGAUUUAAUAUCACCGGCAAACCAAAAGCAACAGAUAUAAA